rnacentral:tRNA from 1 species
GGUGAGAUGUCCGAGAGGCUGAAGGAGCACGCCUGGAAAGUGUGUAUACGGCAACGUAUCGAUGGUUCGAAUCCCUCUCUCACCGCCA